rnacentral:rRNA from 1 species
AACGAACGCUGGCGGCAGGCCUAACACAUGCAAGUCGAGCGAGGACUUCGGUCCUAGCGGCGGACGGGUGAGUAACGCGUGGGAACGUGCCCUUUGCUUCGGAAUAGCCCUGGGAAACUGGGAGUAAUACCGGAUGAGCCCUUUGGGGGAAAGAUUUAUCGGCGAAGGAUCGGCCCGCGUUGGAUUAGGUAGUUGGUGGGGUAAUGGCCUACCAAGCCGACGAUCCAUAGCUGGUUUGAGAGGAUGAUCAGCCACACUGGGACUGAGACACGGCCCAGACUCCUACGGGAGGCAGCAGUGGGGAAUCUUAGACAAUGGGGGAAAGCCUGAUGUAGCCAUGCCGCGUGAGUGAUGAAGGCCUUAGGGUUGUAAAGCUCUUUCAGCUGGGAAGAUAAUGACGGUACCAGCAGAAGAAGCCCCGGCUAACUCCGUG